rnacentral:piRNA from 1 species
UACACAUACAAGGGAUGUGAACGGGUC